UCGAGCCUCAGUGUCACGCUGCUCGCAACUCGCAACUCGCAACUCGCACAUCGCUAUCGCCGUCGCUGUCAUAGCAGCUCGCACGUCGCCGUCGCAGCAGCUCCGCACGUCGCAGGCCGCCGCACGUAGCAUCCCGCCUCACAUCGCAGUAGCGCUGCACUUCCAUUCUGCAAUCUCAAAGUGCAUGGUUACAGUCCAAUUAAAGUAUCCAAUCGCUGAUGCUGUCGAGCCAACUGCUGCCAACACUUCCAUCUCCAG
rnacentral:misc_RNA from 1 species